GAUUAUAAUGCAAACAAGGACCAGAAAUGGCUACUGUCAGAAGUGAGUGAGAAACAAAGCCUGGGGAAAGGAUGUAGGAUCACAGGAGGUGGAACUGAUGGGAUUAAUAAGAAACCAGGCAUGAGAAGCCAUGCAGAUGUAAAUUUGGAAAUCAACAUAUUGAUAGUUGGAGUCACUGGAGUAGGAUGUCUGCCAGCUCCUCUCCAGCCACCCAUUCUCAUAGCGGGUGAGCCAGACCACAUCUGCUAAUCCAGGAGCACAGCUCAGGACUAGUCUAUGCGGAUGGAAUCUCUCUCCAGCCUUUUCUCUAUGUCAGUUUUAUCUACCUGGCAAGAAAAAACAAAAACAACCCCAAAACAACCCCUCCCCACAAACACAACACAAAACAAGGGACUCGAAAAGUUGGAGAAAACCUUUUAAUGUGUUUCUGUAAAAUCCUUUCUUAGGAGGUUUAGUACAGGUACUACCCAUCAGCAACUUAGCCGGCCAGGUGAGUUGGUGCAGAAGGGCUUCGGCUGAAUUUAUACCAGAGCCAUCGGGAGUGACUUGGCCACCUCUCCCAAUUACCACAAGGAAGUCUUAAAAUUGAAUUUCAGUUUCAGCAGAUACUUCAGAUUUACCUGAGCAAUAUCAUAGACAAUGUACUCAUUAUAUAGUAGACAAGUGUCAUUCACACCAGAUGAAAUCCCAGUCCCAAGAGGAACCUCUGCACCAUCCAGAGUAAUACUAGCUGAAGGGUCAGGGGUAGUUUUGCCCAAACCUUUGACACUGUGCUUGCCCUUGGGUAACUUGCUGAUAUGUGAAGCGUGCUUCAGUUCAUACAUUUUCCAAGGGCAACUUCUCCCAACAGGAUUAAGCCUGUUGGGCCUCCCUGAGAUGUAUGGCAGUAGUUGGCACUCUUGGAGGCCAUGUCAGCGAAAUAGAUCCCUUUACCAAACAUGUAGCCCGUCAUGGGCACUUCAGGCGGGGCUAUCCAAAGACCCUGGGACAGGAUCCCAGCAAAGCUGGUGGUUGUGGACCCGGGGCAUGGGCCUUUCUAUCUUUUGCUCUUGGUUUAUAUUUUCCUAUCCACCAGUUCUUCUUUAAAAUAAAUGUAUUUGAGUCAAAACAAUAGAUCAAUAAAAUAUACUAAGUAAAUAAUUGUAUAGAUGUCAAGUAGAAUGUAGCCUAGAGAUCAGUGAAGGAAAAAAUAAAGAAUACAAUAGGACAAAGACCUGAUUGGGAUAAUAAAAAGAGGGAGAGAGAAUUGAUUUUAAAAUCUUUCCUGGGAAAGUUUAAAAUCUGUCCUUAGAGAGGAGGGAGCCAAGAUGGCCGAAUAGGAACAGCUCCGGUCUACAGCUCCCAGCGUGAGCGACGCAGAAGACGGGUGAUUUCUGCAUUUCCAUCUGAGGUACCGGGUUCAUCUCACUAGGGAGUGCCAGACAGUGGGCGCAGGCCAGUGUGUGUGCGCACCGUGCGCGAGCCGAAGCAGGGCGAGGCAUUGCCUCACCUGGGAAGCGCAAGGGGUCAGGGAGUUCCCUUUCCGAGUCAAAGAAAGGGGUGACGGACGCACCUGGAAAAUCGGGUCACUCCCACCCGAAUAUUGCGCUUUUCAGACCGGCUUAAGAAACGGCGCACCACGAGACUAUAUCCCACACCUGGCUCAGAGGGUCCUACGCCCACGGAAUCUCGCUGAUUGCUAGCACAGCAGUCUGAGAUCAAACUGCAAGGCGGCAACGAGGCUGGGGGAGGGGCGCCCGCCAUUGCCCAGGCUUGCUUAGGUAAACAAAGCAGCCGGGAAGCUCGAACUGGGUGGAGCCCACCACAGCUCAAGGAGGCCUGCCUGCCUCUGUAGGCUCCACCUCUGGGGGCAGGGCACAGACAAACAAAAAGACAGCAGUAACCUCUGCAGACUUAAGUGUCCCUGUCUGACAGCUUUGAAGAGAGCAGUGGUUCUCCCAGCACGCAGCUGGAGAUCUGAGAACGGGCAGACUGCCUCAAGUGGGUCCCUGACCCCUGACCCCCGAGCAGCCUAACUGGGAGGCACCCCCCAGCAGGGGCACACUGACACCUCACACGGCAGGGUAUUCCAACAGACCUGCAGCUGAGGUUCCUGUCUGUUAGAAGGAAAACUAACAACCAGAAAGGACAUCUACACCGAAAACCCAUCUGUACAUCACCAUCAUCAAAGACCAAAAGUAGAUAAAACCACAAAGAUGGGGAAAAAACAGAACAGAAAAACUGGAAACUCUAAAACGCAGAGCGCCUCUCCUCCUCCAAAGGAACGCAGUUCCUCACCAGCAACAGAACAAAGCUGGAUGGAGAAUGAUUUUGACGAGCUGAGAGAAGAAGGCUUCAGACGAUCAAAUUACUCUGAGCUACGGGAGGACAUUCAAACCAAAGGCAAAGAAGUUGAAAACUUUGAAAAAAAUUUAGAAGAAUGUAUAACUAGAAUAACCAAUACAGAGAAGUGCUUAAAGGAGCUGAUGGAGCUGAAAACCAAGGCUCGAGAACUACGUGAAGAAUGCAGAAGCCUCAGGAGCCGAUGCGAUCAACUGGAAGAAAGGGUAUCAGCAAUGGAAGAUGAAAUGAAUGAAAUGAAGCGAGAAGGGAAGUUUAGAGAAAAAAGAAUAAAAAGAAAUGAGCAAAGCCUCCAAGAAAUAUGGGACUAUGUGAAAAGACCAAAUCUACGUCUGAUUGGUGUACCUGAAAGUGAUGUGGAGAAUGGAACCAAGUUGGAAAACACUCUGCAGGAUAUUAUCCAGGAGAACUUCCCCAAUCUAGCAAGGCAGGCCAACGUUCAGAUUCAGGAAAUACAGAGAACGCCACAAAGAUACUCCUCGAGAAGAGCAACUCCAAGACACAUAAUUGUCAGAUUCACCAAAGUUGAAAUGAAGGAAAAAAUGUUAAGGGCAGCCAGAGAGAAAGGUCGGGUUACCCUCAAAGGAAAGCCCAUCAGACUAACAGCGGAUCUCUCGGCAGAAACCCUACAAGCCAGAAGAGAGUGGGGGCCAAUAUUCAACAUUCUUAAAGAAAAGAAUUUUCAACCCAGAAUUUCAUAUCCAGCCAAACUAAGCUUCAUAAGUGAAGGAGAAAUAAAAUACUUUAUAGACAAGCAAAUGCUGAGAGAUUUUGUCACCACCAGGCCUGCCCUAAAAGAGCUCCUGAAGGAAGCGCUAAACAUGGAAAGGAACAACCGGUACCAGCCGCUGCAAAAUCAUGCCAAAAUGUAAAGACCAUCGAGACUAGGAAGAAACUGCAUCAACUAAUGAGCAAAAUCACCAGCUAACAUCAUCAUGACAGGAUCAAAUUCACACAUAACAAUAUUAACUUUAAAUAUAAAUGGACUAAAUUCUGCAAUUAAAAGACACAGACUGGCAAAUUGGAUAAAGAGUCAAGACCCAUCAGUGUGCUGUAUUCAGGAAACCCAUCUCACGUGCAGAGACACACAUAGGCUCAAAAUAAAAGGAUGGAGGAAGAUCUACCAAGCCAAUGGAAAACAAAAAAAGGCAGGGGUUGCAAUCCUAGUCUCUGAUAAAACAGACUUUAAACCAACAAAGAUCAAAAGAGACAAAGAAGGCCAUUACAUAAUGGUAAAGGGAUCAAUUCAACAAGAGGAGCUAACUAUCCUAAAUAUUUAUGCACCCAAUACAGGAGCACCCAGAUUCAUAAAGCAAGUCCUCAGUGACCUACAAAGAGACUUAGACUCCCACACAUUAAUAAUGGGAGACUUUAACACCCCACUGUCAACAUUAGACAGAUCAACGAGACAGAAAGUCAACAAGGAUACCCAGGAAUUGAACUCAGCUCUGCACCAAGCAGACCUAAUAGACAUCUACAGAACUCUCCACCCCAAAUCAACAGAAUAUACAUUUUUUUCAGCACCACACCACACCUAUUCCAAAAUUGACCACAUAGUUGGAAGUAAAGCUCUCCUCAGCAAAUGUAAAAGAACAGAAAUUAUAACAAACUAUCUCUCAGACCACAGUGCAAUCAAACUAGAACUCAGGAUUAAAAAUCUCACUCAAAGCCGCUCAACUACAUGGAAACUGAACAACCUGCUCCUGAAUGACUGCUGGGUACAUAACGAAAUGAAGGCAGAAAUAAAGAUGUUCUUUGAAACCAACGAGAACAAAGACACCACAUACCAGAAUCUCUGGGACGCAUUCAAAGCAGUGUGUAGAGGGAAAUUUAUAGCACUAAAUGCCUACAAGAGAAAGCAGGAAAGAUCCAAAAUUGACACCCUAACAUCACAAUUAAAAGAACUAGAAAAGCAAGAGCAAACACAUUCAAAAGCUAUCAGAAGGCAAGAAAUAACUAAAAUCAGAGCAGAACUGAAGGAAAUAGAGACACAAAAAACCCUUCAAAAAAUCAAUGAAUCCAGGAGCUGGUUUUUUGAAAGGAUCAACAAAAUUGAUAGACCGCUAGCAAGACUAAUAAAGAAAAAAA